UACGAAGGGAGCUAGCGUUGUUCGGAAUCACUGGGCGUAAAGCGCACGUAGGUGGGCAGUUAAGUCAGGGGUGAAAGCCCGAGGCUCAACCUCGGAAUUGCCUCUGAUACUGGCUGUCUAGAGUCCGAGAGAGGUGGGUGGAAUUCCUAGUGUAGAGGUGAAAUUCGUAGAUAUUAGGAAGAACACCGGUGGCGAAGGCGGCCCACUGGCUCGGUACUGACACUGAGGUGCGAAAGCGUGGGGAGCAAACAGG
rnacentral:rRNA from 1 species